UUUGCACAACGCGGGAGCUCGGAGCACCGGGCUGAGAGGGCGCUGACCUCCGUAUCCGCGAUGUUUCACGUGGAACAUCGCCGACGGAAGCCGCUGCGCCGACCGCCGAACCUGUUACCGGGUAAUGCCGGCGUAGGGAGUAGGUCAGGAUGACCG
rnacentral:ncRNA from 1 species